CAGUCGCCGCGGGAAUACGAAGGGGGCUAGCGUUGCUCGGAAUGACUGGGCGUAAAGGGCGCGUAGGCGGAUUGUUUAGUUAGGCGUGAAAUUCCUGGGCUUAACCUGGGGACUGCGCUUAAUACAGGCAGUCUAGAGUGAGGAAGAGGGUUGUGGAAUUCCCAGUGUAGAGGUGAAAUUCGUAGAUAUUGGGAAGAACACCGGUGGCGAAGGCGGCAACCUGGUCCUUGACUGACGCUGAGGCGCGAAAGCGUGGGGAGCAAACAGGAUUAGAUACCCCGGUAGUCCCUGUCUCUUAUAA
rnacentral:rRNA from 1 species